rfam:Schistosoma mattheei strain Denwood, Zambia genome assembly, scaffold: SMTD_scaffold0006501
AUCCAGCUGACGAAUCCCAAAUAGGAUGAAACGCUCGUAAAACUGGAU